AUGCUUGCAUGCAGAAGGUUCCAAGCUCCCUCCUUGGCAGCAUCUCCAAGAUAGGGCUGAGAGAGACUCCUGCCUGCAACCUUGGAGAAGCCGUUACCAGUCUGUGUAGACCAGGAAUGCACAACUCAAAGACCCCAGUGGGCUGGAACCAACCAUAACUUGGUGUAUGGAGGUCAAGGUUCACACAGAGGAGGCAGAUCAUAAUGUAGCAAGCCCGAGGAAAGAAAAAGACUGGAACAAAACUGUUUGCAGUUAGCAUAAGUGACUGCACACACUGGCCAGCAUUCAGUCCUGAGACAGAAGCUUCCUUUUGAAAAAUGUCUCUCCAAAAGAUGAAGAAAAUGGCAUGUCUUUGGUGAACACUAAAUUACUUCAGAUGAAUGUUGAUCUCAGUUAAUUAAAAUGACUGGUCUUGGAAAAAUUGCAGCACACUUACUUUCAAAUUAGCAGAUGAAUUUUGGCUGACCUUUCAGACUUUGAUGGCUUGCCCAGUUGUCUGCUUAAUGAUCAAAACUGGACAACUACAACAAACUCUGGAAAAUCCAAACUGAAGGAAUUCUCUUGUGUACAUCUGCAAAAUGAUUUUUUUUUUUGGUGGGUGUAAGAACUUCUUAUUUUCCCCCAGUUAAGAGUUAUUAAACAUAAUGGCAGACAUCCAAAGCAAGGAAGCAGCAGUGUAGCGAGAAGAGCAGACUUACAGCACUUCCAGACUUACUGUACCAGUGUCCUGGGGAAGGGGCAAUUUUAACCUCCCCUUGCCCAGAAAGUCCUCUGUAACAUCCGAUAAUAUGUCCCUGAGGGCAGAAAUUGUGUGAACCUGCCUAAUGUGUAAACACACCAAAAAAAAACCCCAGAUGUUUAAGGUGUUCUUAUAAAAGGGGAUAAGAUGGUGAAAGAUGGGCAAGAUAAUAAAGGACAAUGGCCUUUAUGUCCCAACAGGCAUAAAGAACAUCAUGGAAAGAUUGCAACUUUCUUAAGAUAAAGGAAAGCCUUGAUUUUUACGGAUCCUGCAUCCGUGGAUUUGUAUAUCUGCGGCCAGGUAAUGGACGCCCAACCUUGGUAUAUGCAGUAAAAAAUCUGGGAGAAAGGGUUAAACUCGUGUAUCUGAAUGUUGGGGGUGGCCGUAAAUUACCUCGGAGGCCAUUUCUGGCCACCAUUUUGAGGAGAAGAGUCUAAACUAA